rnacentral:rRNA from 1 species
GGGGGGGGGGGGGGGCGGGGCGAGGGCAUGCGGGGCGAGCGAACGGGCGAGGAGCUUGCUUGUCUGAUGUUAGCGGCGGACGGGUGAGUAACACGUGGAUAACCUACCUAUAAGACUGGGAUAACUUCGGGAAACCGGAGCUAAUACCGGAUAAUAUUUUGAACCGCAUGGUUCAAAAGUGAAAGACGGUCUUGCUGUCACUUAUAGAUGGAUCCGCGCUGCAUUAGCUAGUUGGUAAGGUAACGGCUUACCAAGGCAACGAUGCAUAGCCGACCUGAGAGGGUGAUCGGCCACACUGGAACUGAGACACGGUCCAGACUCCUACGGGAGGCAGCAGUAGGGAAUCUUCCGCAAUGGGCGAAAGCCUGACGGAGCAACGCCGCGUGAGUGAUGAAGGUCUUCGGAUCGUAAAACUCUGUUAUUAGGGAAGAACAUAUGUGUAAGUAACUGUGCACAUCUUGACGGUACCUAAUCAGAAAGCCACGGCUAACUACGUG